UGGGGAAUCUUGGACAAUGGGCGCAAGCCUGAUCCAGCGACGCCGCGUGGGCGACGAAGGCCUUCGGGUUGUAAAGCCCUUUUCCCGGGGACGAUGGUGACGGUACCCGGGGAAUAAGCGCCGGCUAACUCCGUGCCAGCAGCCGCGGUAAGACGGAGGGCGCUAGCGUUGUUCGGAAUCACUGGGCGUAAAGGGCGCGCAGGCGGCCCGGCCAGUCGGGUGUGAAAGCCCGGGGCUCAACCCCGGAACGGCACCCGAUACUGCCGGGCUCGAGGCCGGGAGAGGGUGGUGGAAUACCCAGUGUAGAGGUGAAAUUCGUAGAUAUUGGGUGGAACACCGGUGGCGAAGGCGGCCACCUGGCCCGGUCCUGACGCUGAGGCGCGAAAGCGUGGGGAGCAAACAGG
rnacentral:rRNA from 1 species